rnacentral:lncRNA from 1 species
UUCCACCAUUUUUUCCUCAGCCCUUUUUUUCCUUUGUCCUUUUCAUGGUAUCCAAACAUAGGAAAAUCAAUUUUCUUAGCAUUUAUUUUUUCUUUCUUAACACCUUCCAGAAAUUAAACAAAACAUUAUGGAAAUAAAAUUUUCAUGCUUAUAUUCAGGGAAAAUUUUACAGUUUUAGUUAUGAAAUUUUACUUGCUUGUUCAUAUUCUAUGAAAAUGACACUAUCCAAGGUUUAGUGAAAUUAGAGGGACCUCCACCCACAUUUGAAAAGUAGACAUUAUGGAAAUAAAAUUUUCAUGCUUAUAUUCAGGGAAAAUUUUACAGUUUUAGUUAUGAAAUUUUACUUGCUUGUUCAUAUUCUAUGAAAAUGACACUAUCCAAGGUUUAGUGAAAUUAGAGGGACCUCCACCCACAUUUGAAAAGUAGACACUGACUGACAGCUAGUCUUAAUUUAUUGACAGGUCCUCUUUUCUGUUAGUGGAACUUGGUAACAUCAUGCCUAUGAUCUCCCAAAAAAUUAUUUUGCUCCACUUGGAGUCCGUUUAGGAGUAAUUUUGAGAGGGGUUUAAAGCUCUUCUUAAUGCUUGAAGGCACUUACGAAAAGUAGAUGUUUAGUAAACUUUUGAAAAUCAACUUUUAACUAUCUGGAAAAUCACUUGAAGUGAUUCCUAAACAAUCACUUGAUAGAUAAUUUUUCCAAAAAUCACUUUUUUGUUA